rnacentral:rRNA from 1 species
AACGAACGUUAGCGGCGCGCCUAACACAUGCAAGUCGAACGCGACAGGGGCAACUCUGUUGAGUGGCGCACGGGUGAGCAACACGUAGGUAAUCUCCCCCCGAGUGGUGGAUAACCUUCCGAAAGGAGGGCUAAUACAGCAUAAGACCACGGCUUCGAAAGGAGCUGAGGUCAAAGCGGAGGAUCGCAAGACUUCGCGCGUGGGGAUGAGCCUGCGGCCCAUCAGGUAGUUGGCGGGGUAACAGCCCACCAAGCCUAAGACGGGUAGCUGGUCUGAGAGGAUGAGCAGCCACACUGGAACUGAGACACGGUCCAGACUCCUACGGGAGGCAGCAGUGGGGAAUCUUGCGCAAUGGACGAAAGUCUGACGCAGCGACGCCGCGUGGGUGAUGAAGGCCUUCGGGUUGUAAAGCCCUGUGGGGAGGGACGAAUAAGUUUCAGCUAAUACCUGAAGCGAUGACGGUACCUCCUUAGCAAGCACCGGCUAACUCUGUGCCAGCCGCCGCAGUAA